rnacentral:lncRNA from 1 species
UUUGUUAGUGGGAGUUAAGCUGAAAGCUGCGCUCGUCUACGUCUCACCUGGGAAAAAUAUGGGAAUCGAGCAAUCCAAGAGCGAAGAGCUGAACAAGGAUGGGUCAGUUCCUGAGGUGCAUGAAAAUGGAUCAGUGAAUGGCAUCACAGCAAGUAUCACACCCAAUGGACUGAAGGCAGAUGUCAAAAGUGAGGUCACUGUCCAACAAAAUGGCAAGCCCCUCUCUUUGAGCCUGUCCACAGAAUCAUCUGGGCCCGAUGGUGUGGUGGUCCAAACCAACACUGAACCUGUGGAGGCUCAGGUCGUCACUGAAAUCCCUGAGACCGUCAACCUGAAGGAGGAGAUCAAGAAGGAAAAAGUCAAGGCCUUUGGUAACAUAUUUAAAAAGAAAGCAGCUGGUGCCAAGAACCUUCAGAAACAAGCUGCCUCAGACGAAGAACUCACGAACGUCGUUGAUCCACAGUUUGGUUGCGUGAAAAUGGAUUCAAGUGAAGAAGAAGAUGACAACAUGGUCAUCAUUGAACCCCUGGAGGAAAAUGUUCAUCUGCAUCCAGAAGCUGGAACAUCUGAGCAAAUAGAGAGAGAAUAUGAAGCUACCGGAUUUAGCGAAAGGAGCCGAGAAGAGAGAAGUGGAAAGAAAACUCUGCCGUGGGAGCUCUCCCCCAGUUCCCUGUUAGUGGUGGUGGAUUAUAUUAAUGGGAUUUUCUCUGGUGUUCCUGACUACGUUGAGAUUGGUGAAGAUGCAGUGUGUUAUGUAGAGGCAGAAUCAGCUGAACUACAACCCAAUCCUGCAGAACCAGCAUUUAAUUUUCUUUCUCAAGACCUAGAAUCCAGUUCUAGCACUUCUCAGCUGUCUGCAGCAGAUGAUGUAAAUCCUGGUGAAGAUGUUACCACUGCAACGGUCUUUGAACGCCUCUUUGGAGAAGCAGCGGCGAGGCCUGUGAAGGCAUCGAUUACCCCAGUCAAAGACACGGGCGCCGCUGAGGAGCUGGAGUGGAGUAUGACACGGCCGAAAGCUGGAAGGCUAGCGUCGAUUCCAGAGACCGCGGAGGAUGAAGAUACAGACGGGGAACGGGAUGCGGCCGCGGAGGAGGAGCGCUGGACAGGGAGGCAGAGAAUGAAUCAACAACCAGCUUAG